rnacentral:rRNA from 1 species
GACGAACGCUGGCGGCGUGCUUAACACAUGCAAGUCGAGCGGAAAGGCCCUGCUUUUGUGGGGUGCUCGAGUGGCGAACGGGUGAGUAACACGUGAGUAACCUGCCCUUGACUUUGGGAUAACUUCAGGAAACUGGGGCUAAUACCGGAUAGGAGCUCCUGCUGCAUGGUGGGGGUUGGAAAGUUCCGGCGGUUGGGGAUGGACUCGCGGCUUAUCAGCUUGUUGGUGGGGUAGUGGCUUACCAAGGCUUUGACGGGUAGCCGGCCUGAGAGGGUGACCGGCCACAUUGGGACUGAGAUACGGCCCAGACUCCUACGGGAGGCAGCAGUGGGGAAUAUUGCACAAUGGGCGGAAGCCUGAUGCAGCAACGCCGCGUGCGGGAUGACGGCCUUCGGGUUGUAAACCGCUUUCGCCUGUGACGAAGCGUGAGUGACGGUAAUGGGUAAAGAAGCACCGGCUAACUACGUG